AUAUUGAACUUAUUGAAGAUCCUUGAUUUUCACAUUUUUGAAAAUGGUGGGUUGAAAGCUUUCGUAUGUGUGCAAAUAGACUAAAAAACGGCAUUAAUGAAGAGUGUUUCUGCGCAAUGGCUGCUCACUGCCGACAGCCGGCCAAACCCAAAAUCACGAGCAGAAAGUUUACUUGGACAUCAGCCAUAGCUACAAUUAGCAUACAGUAAAACCUGCUGUCGCCUCUAUUAAGCAGCCAACCUGUCUUAAGCAGCCAGUGUCUCAUUUCCUUUCAUUCUAUAAAUGACAUGCAUGAAGCAGCCACAUGCGCUAAACAGCCACUUUUCCCCCACUCUCUUGGCUGGCUGCUUUAGACUGUUUUUUCUGUACACUUUUAAAGAUUUUAAAGAAAAUGUCAGCUGUUUUAAAAAUGUUGCUUUUUGUAAAAAUAGGGUGUUGAUGAUACCUUUUCUGUUUCUGGUAAAGGACAAUGAACGCUAGGCAAGUUUCUCAAACAUUAUCUUCUUUCCCUGACAAAAAAACAUUGAUAUGAACAAAAAAAUUCAUUACUUCAGACGUGGAUAGUUGGUUUCCUGCGAAGAAGAAUGGAUUAUGUAACACCUGCAGCCAGAGAGUUCGGAGAAAGGGAUCAGCUCAAAGAACAUUGGAGGGGUCUGAUGACAAUAUUGAUAUAGGUUAUGAAGAAGAUGGUAAAGGAAAAUCGGCAGAGGUAAAGGAGACAAAUGAUGGUGCGAAAAGUAGAAAUAUCACAAGUUAACAGUCAAUAAGGGAAUUGACUGCAGCCAGUAACUAGACAAGUCAUGAGCUUGCAAGAUAUGUCACAGAAAGGCGGGUAUAUGGAGCUGCUGCAGAUUUACCCAGUCUUGCUUAAACCAGAAGUUGUGAUCUACAACAUGGUUCUACAACUGCCAAUGAACUUCGGUAGAAGAGCUGGAGGGGAGUGGAGUGAGCAUAUUGCAGUACAGUUAAACCUGUCUAUAAAGACCACCCUUGGGAGAGCCAAAAAUGUGGUCUUUAUUGGGAGGUGGUCGUUAUUCACAGGUAAAAAUAUAUUGUAAAUGUUAAAAUGGGAAACAAAACAUUUGGUCUCUGUUCAGAGGUGGUCUUUAACACCGGUUUGACUGUAUACACAUCAGUGGGAGUGGAACAGGCAGAUUUCAAUACAUACUACAUCAGUGGGAAAAGUGCAAUGAAGUUCAGCUGUUUCCAGCUUGAAACACAUGGAAUCUUCAGAAGCACAAAAUGACAUGGUUGGCAUUCUGGAAGUUCAUGGAGUAUGCCCGUGGCCAGACAAAUCUUCAUCAUUUAGAGGGUUAAGUUACAAGACUGAUGGAAAAUGACAGUGACUGGACAGACAAUGAUGAUGGUGAAGAACUAUAGAAAACAUGGGAAAACUUUUAAUAGUGGUCAUCAACAAGCAGUCAUUGAUUCCAGUAUUCCAGCCAAUGUAUCGCUCUCAGGUUGAAGUUGCAAGGAGAGACUGAUGGAAAAUGACAGUGACUGGACAGACAAUGAUGAUGGUGAAGAACUAUAGAAAACUUGGGAAAACUUUUAAUAGUGGCCAUCAACAAGCAGUCAUUGGUCCAGUAUUCCAGCCAAUGUAUCCCUCUCGUAGGUUAACCUUAAAGCAGGACUUGCACUUUCAUGUGGGGGAAAAACAUGAAAUGGAGAUCACUUACCAGUGCACACAGUUGACUUGAGAAGAAAUUUCUUAUCAGUCAGGAAUUGACCAAAAAGGAUGUUGAUAUUGAUGCACUUCCUCGUAGCAACUUCAGACCUACAGAUAUAUAAGGCAACAAUUAUCACUAUUGACCUAAUUCAAUACGGGAAGAUGCCACAUGUCACACAAAGCUGCAUACCACAACAAAUCGCUGUAGCACAGAUUUCUAUGUCACACCUAAAAAGGAAAUUUUACCAGAGGCACAAAGGAUCACCAGGAUUGCAUGGAAUAUUCAGACACGAUAACAAUAAAAAGUCCAACACAUCUGUACCUGGAAUUAAGGCGACUGUAGAGAAAUUGUGUUCUUGGCUUGAAAAGAUCCUAAAGUGAUUUUGGUAGCCCGUUAUGGAAGACAGUUUGAUUUUCCAGCUCUUGUCUCAGCUCUACUGUACACAAAAAUAACUAGGACAUUAUUCAGCUGAGUUUCUUCUAAAAAGUAUUCUUUUACCAGUGUUCAAGAAACUGUACCCUACUACUUGGUAUCUGGUACAAUGCCUAUAACUGACAGACAGACAAAUUUACUAUGAAAAACUGGGAAGGCCUGCCAAGGGUUUUCAUAUGUUAAAGAAAAAUUUCAAGCAGUGACAUAUACUCAUGAUAAAUUUGGUACAAUAAUGUUCAUUAUUUUAAGUAGAAAAUGACAAUUGUAAUUGGAAAUUCGAAUUGUGUUAUUUUACUCUAUAUUUAAGAAAAUUAAUAUAUUCAAACUUGUAAAAUUUUUUGCAUUUGUUAAAAUGUUUAUUAUUUAGCCAUUUCCUUGAUUAAAAAUACACAACAAACUUCUAGCUUAAGACUUUCCAAGGUUGACAAGUUAUUACUUUCUUUGAUUUUGCUUAAGUUUGUUAAUUAUUGUUAAAUACUUUUGUUCAAAAAUUAAUACUGUAUAAAAACCUUUAAUUAAUAUCAUUGAGCAACAGAUGUUAUCUUUUAACAAUUAGUAAAGUAAGGAGAAGACAACCUUAAAAUGUUUAAAUUAAACUUAUAAGUAAAGUAUAUAAACCCCAAACUUUUAAGGAGCUAAAAGACAAAAUUUCAUUUCAACUCUUGUAAAAAAUUAACUUUGUGAUAUUUUUCUCAGUGAUAACUAGACAUUUAAUUUUAUCUGUAUAGAUUUUUGUACAGUUAAUCCAGGUGUAUACAAGACAAUAUUUAUAAAGAAUUUUAUGCCCCCUGGCAUCUACUGAUGCGGGAGGCAUAUAGUGAUUGUCCUGUCUGUUCGUCCGUCCGUACGAGGUUAACCUAAUGGGACCGUUUUGUCUAGCAUCAGUAUCACUAACUAGAAUGACUUGAUACUAAUGCAGAUGUAACCUGUGACCAUUCCUCAUCUUCAGACAUAUCACCUGACCUCAGUUUGACUUUGCUUUGUAUUGACAAGGAUGCCAACGGGGGCAUCAAGCGUUUAUUGAAUGCAGCUCCUUGUUUUUUUAUGUUUUAAGCUACCUGAUUAUUUAUAUUAGAGAAAACUGUUAAAUUUCAAUUACUUUAUAAGUGUACAUGUAAAUCCUAUUUCACUAUACUUACAUAUUAUUGAAAGCUAAGGGACUCCAUUGGAAAUAAGUGAAAUUGUUACUUUCACGGUUUAUCCCAGGCAGAAAGAUCAUCAUUUUUUCCUGAUGUUUAUGUAUUAGCUUGAUUAAACUUGUAAAGUACAAACAUAUAAAGGGCUUACUGCAUAUUUAUUAAUUCUGAUAUUUUUGAUUUCUGUACCACUUUGUAUUUCUGUUAUAAUUGGACCUUAUGCCUUAAUAAAACUGAAUUGAAUUGAACUAAUUGGAUUUUAAACUGAAACUGAACUGAACUGAACAGAAUUUGGAACAGAAACUGAACUGAGUUAAACUGAACUGAACUGAACUGAAUUUGAAACAAAAACUGAACUGAAUUUUAAACUGAAACUGAGCUGAACUGAAUAUAGCUGGGUAAAAAACUACAGUACAGCUUGCAUUAAGAGUCACCACCAAAGGGAAGGAAAAAACAUGGUCUGUUUAUGCAACAUAGUUUGUUCUUUGAUAACAUAAAAAAAGGAACCGAAAAAGUUGUCUCAUAAUGCAAGUAGUCUCUAAAUCAAAUGUACUUGAUGAAACUUAUUAUGUUUUCAUGCUGCAAAUUUUGUAAUGUAGUUUUGUUGUGUCUAUGAAGAUUUCUCUAAAUAAACUUUAAACAUUA